rnacentral:piRNA from 1 species
UGAGGUUUGCAACAAGUAGGAU